rnacentral:piRNA from 1 species
UAAGAAACAAUACAGAUGCAUCCUGUGUCCC